GAUGAACGCUGGCGGCGUACCUAAUACAUGCAAGUCGAGCGAACGGACGAGAAGCUUGCUUCUCUGAUGUUAGCGGCGGACGGGUGAGUAACACGUGGAUAACCUACCUAUAAGACUGGGAUAACUUCGGGAAACCGGAGCUAAUACCGGAUGAUAUUUUGAACCGCAUGGUUCAAAAGUGAAAGACGGUCUUGCUGUCACUUAUAGAUGGAUCCGCGCUGCAUUAGCUAGUUGGUAAGGUAACGGCUUACCAAGGCAACGAUGCAUAGCCGACCUGAGAGGGUGAUCGGCCACACUGGAACUGAGACACGGUCCAGACUCCUACGGGAGGCAGCAGUAGGGAAUCUUCCGCAAUGGGCGAAAGCCUGACGGAGCAGCGCCGCGUGAGUGAUGAAGAUCUUCGGAUCGUAAAACUCUGUUAUUAGGGAAGAACAUAUGUGUAAGUAACUGUGCACAUCUUGACGGUACCUAAUCAGAAAGCCACGGCUAACUACGUG
rnacentral:rRNA from 1 species